GUGGUUCGGGGCCAGGAGACGCUGGGCUGCUGAGAAACGCCUCAUUGUGUGGUUUGACCCGGAGUUGGCGCACCUCGUCCCCGGCUCCGUCUCCGCGUGGUGGAUUUAUUUGCACGAACCUCUCGGUGCCGGCUGGGAAAGGAUCCUCUUACCGGCUCGGUCCCGGUGUGAUUUUGGAAAUAAGCGGAACGGCUGUGGAUUAAUGUGAAUGUUCCGGCUGAACGGACUAAGCCUCAACGGAGUCUGCAGACUGAAAGAUUUUUAAACUCACAGGGACAAUCGGGACGGAAACGGCCUUCGCUUCCUGGCUGUGGUAGCGUCUCGCUCCGUCACUGGUUCUGCUCCGACGCUGCCUGUGCUUGACACUCCCAUGUUCAAGGGUGGAUUUGGCUUUGAAGACUUGACAUAAAAGAUGAAUCCAGAUGCCACAAACGGUUCCAUUAGAACAGGAUGGCAUGUCUUCACAGGGGGAA